CAGGGAUUGCCCUAGUAACGGCGAGUGAAGCGGCAACAGCUCAAAUUUGAAAUCUGGCUCUUUCAGGGUCCGAGUUGUAAUUUGCAGAGGGCGCUUUGGCGUUGGCAGCGGUCCAAGUUCCUUGGAACAGGACGUCACAGAGGGUGAGAAUCCCGUACGUGGUCGCUGGCCUUCGCCGUGUAAAGCCCCUUCGACGAGUCGAGUUGUUUGGGAAUGCAGCUCUAAAUGGGAGGUAAAUUUCUUCUAAAGCUAAAUACUGGCCAGAGACCGAUAGCGCACAAGUAGAGUGAUCGAAAGAUGAAAAGCACUUUGGAAAGAGAGUCAAAUAGCACGUGAAAUUGUUGAAAGGGAAGCGCUUGCAGCCAGACUUGCCUGUAGUUGCUCAUCCGGGCUUUUGCCCGGUGCACUCUUCUGCGGGCAGGCCAGCAUCAGUUUGGGCGGUUGGAUAAAGGUCUCUGUCAUGUACCUCCUCUCGGGGAGGCCUUAUAGGGGAGACGACAUGCAACCAGCCUGGACUGAGGUCCGCGCAUUUGCUAGGAUGCUGGCGUAAUGGCUGUAAGCGGCCCGUCUUGAAACACGGACCAAGGAGUCUAACAUCUAUGCGAGUGUUUGGGUGUCAAGCCCGAGCGCGCAAUGAAAGUGAACGGAGGUGGGAACCCUUAAGGGUGCACCAUCGACCGAUCCUGAUGUCUUCGGAUGGAUUUGAGUAAGAGCAUGGCUGUUGGGACCCGAAAGAUGGUGAACUAUGCUUGAAUAGGGUGAAGCCAGAGGAAACUCUGGUGGAGGCUCGCAGCGGUUCUGACGUGCAAAUCGAUCGUCAAAUUUGGGCAUAGGGGCGAAAGACUA
rnacentral:rRNA from 1 species